rnacentral:rRNA from 1 species
AUGAACCAGUUAAAAAAAAAGAUCUUACCAGUUAUGAUUCACAUAAUGAAGAAACAACAGUUUCACAAACAUAAACAUGCGUUCCAAUUUCUGGAAAAAAGCAUUACAACACAAAAAUACUUUCCAAUUACAAUUUUGUUUCACAUCAUGGGUAUUAGUUUCACAAAUCUAUAUUUCACAUCAGAUAUAGCAGUCCCACAUAUCUACAUAUCUACUUCAAUUUCAGAACAACAACAUCACAUAUAUAACACACUCUGCUUCAAAUCUUCACAUCGAGUUCAAUUUGACACCUUCACUACCAUCGAGUAUAACAAUUCCAUAUAUCACACAAGUAGGGGGAGCUGUCCAUCCGGUGAAGAAGCAAGGGGGAGGGGGGAGCUCAAAUCAUGUACCACAACACAAAAAGAGAUAGAGAUGUUAUGGGAGUUGUCCUUACUUGGGGGUGGGGUUGGAUGCAUCUGGUCGUGGACUUACCAGAUCUAG